GGAAGUAAAAGUCGUAACAAGGUCUCCGUUGGUGACCCAGCGGAGGGAUCAUUA
rnacentral:rRNA from 1 species